GGGAAAAUGAGGGAGACAGACUCAGAUCCAUAAUUAUAGAAGCUGUGUGCAAGAUUUAAUUAAAACUUGGGUGGAAAUGAACACCCAGAAACAAGUGUCAUUCAUCAACUCAAAGCACCAACUAAGGGCCUGCCAGACACACGAAUUAAUCAUCGGUUAUCCCAGUUGCACACCUGUACGGAGAAGAGACCCUGGCAUGCGCAGAGCGAGCCAGCUGAGACUGGGCAAGCAAGAGGGACAGGGACACAGGCC
ensembl:lncRNA